rnacentral:SRP_RNA from 2 species
GCUGGGUGUGGUGGUGCACGCCUGUAAUCCCAGCUACUCAGGAGGCUGAGGCAGAAGAAUCGCUUGAACCUGGGAGGUGGAGGUUGCAGUGAGCCGAGAUCGCGCCACUGCAUUCCAGUCUGGGUGACAGAGUGAGACUCUGUCUCCA